GUGCAAAUGGAAUAGACAACAGGUAGACAUUAUAGGCAAUUAGCAAGACACCCCCAAUAAAGGGGUGGUUCUGCAGGUGGUGACCACAGACUACUUCUCAGUUCCUAUGCUUCCUGGCUGAUGUUUUGGUCACUUUUGAAUGCUGGCGGUGCUAUCACUCUAGUGGUAGCAUGAGAUGGAGUCUACAACCCACACAAGUGGCUCAAGUAGUGCAGCUCAUCCAGGAUGGCACAUCAAUGCGAGCUGUGGCAAGAAGGUUUGCGUAGUGUCCAGAGCAUGGAGGCGCUACCAGGAGACAGGCCAGUACAUCAGGAGACAUGGAGGAGGCCGUAGGAGGGCAACAACCCAGCAGCAGGACCGCUACCUCCGCCUUUGUGCAAAGAGGAACAGGAGGAGCACUGCCAGAGCCCUGCAAAAUGACGUCCAGCA